UUGCCGGCGACCGGCGGACGGGUGCGUAACGCGUAUGUAACCUACCUUUGACAGGGGGAUAACAUCGAGAAAUUGGUACUAAUACCCCAUAACAUCACCGGAGGCAUCUUCGGUGGUUGAAAACUCAGGUGGUCAGAGAUGGACAUGCGUUGUAUUAGCUAGUUGGUGAGGUAACGGCUCACCAAGGCGACGAUACAUAGGGGGACUGAGAGGUCAACCCCCCACAUUGGUACUGAGACACGGCCCAAACUCCUACGGGAGGCAGCAG
rnacentral:rRNA from 1 species